rnacentral:tRNA from 1 species
UGGUGGUAUGGUCUAGGGGUAGGAUACCGCAUUGUGGUGACUCAAUGCUGCGUUGGCCCCGGUUCGAAUCCGGGUACCGCCAU